rnacentral:rRNA from 1 species
CCUACGGGAGGCAGCAGUGGGGAAUCUUGCGCAAUGGGCGAAAGCCUGACGCAGCAACGCCGCGUGCGGGAAGAAGGCUUUCGGGCUGUAAACCGCUUUCAGCAGGAACGAAAAUGACGGUACCUGCAGAAGAAGGAGCGGCCAACUAUGUGCCAGCAGCCGCGGUGAUACAUAGGCUUCAAGCGUUGUCCGGAUUUAUUGGGCGUAAAGAGUUCGUAGGCGGUCGAGUAAGUCGGGUGUGAAAAUUCUGGGCUCAACCCAGAGACGCCACCCGAUACUGCUUGACUUGAGUUCGAUAGGGGAGUGGGGAAUUCCUAGUGUAGCGGUGGAAUGCGCAGAUAUUAGGAGGAACACCGGUGGCGAAGGCGCCACUCUGGAUCGAUACUGACGCUGAGGAACGAAAGCAUGGGUAGCAAACAGGAUUAGAUACCCUGGUAGUCCAUGCCGUAAACGGUGGGCACUAGGUGUGGGUUUCUAUUAACGAAAUCCGCGCCGUCGCUAACGCAUUAAGUGCCCGCCUGGGGAGUACGGUGCAAGCUAAAACUAAAUGAAAUUGACGGCUUGAGACGUUGCGAGAGACGACGAGGGAGAG